AAUUUUCUAAGGUUAUAUUAACUUUUUUUUAUAAUUUAUAUUUUUGUUGAAAAUAACAAAAUUUUCUUUAAGACUAAAAGACCCUAGAAUUUUUAUAAUAUUUUUUAUAACAUAUUAUUUAUUUGGGGAAAUGAUAUAAAACUAAUGUA
rnacentral:rRNA from 1 species